rnacentral:ncRNA from 2 species
UAAGGCUGUCGAUGUCGUGGUUCUCCGGCGGCGUCUCGGCGGCGCUGGAGCUAAGAGGGAAUCCGGUGCGUCACGCCUGCUGCGCGUGGCAAUGCCGGAGCUGCCCCCGCAACUGUGAGCGGCGAGCUCCUGUCCAACUCUGCCACUGAGGCCACACGGCUUCGGGAAGGCCGGACCGGGGCGACGACCCGCGAGCCAGGAGACCUGCCGCGACCUCAUAACGUCC